GGGAAAGACCGGACCACAAGGGUCUAUUGUACGCAGCCUUGCCCUGCAUUUCUGCAAGAGGUUGUUUCCACAGCUCGAACCCGUGACCUCCUUGUCAUAUGGAGGCAACUUUACCGGUUACGCCAAGGCUCCCCUUACCUCAUAAGUUAUAACUAAAAGGAUAAUUUCACAGAGAUAGUGGCAUACUACUAAAGCAAUGCUCAAGUUAGCUUUUAACAACUGAAAUAGUACAUGAGAUAUAAGUGACAGUCAAUUCCAUAACAACUAAAACACAAAGCACCAUGGUCAGACCCAAUUUUCAACUACACUUGGUGAAAUUUACAAUUCUUGAAA
rnacentral:lncRNA from 1 species